UGGGGAAUAUUGGACAAUGGGCGCAAGCCUGAUCCAGCCAUGCCGCGUGAGUGAUGAAGGCCCUAGGGUUGUAAAGCUCUUUUGUGCGGGAAGAUAAUGACUGUACCGCAAGAAUAAGCCCCGGCUAACUUCGUGCCAGCAGCCGCGGUAAUACGAAGGGGGCUAGCGUUGCUCGGAAUCACUGGGCGUAAAGGGUGCGUAGGCGGGUCUUUAAGUCAGGGGUGAAAUCCUGGAGCUCAACUCCAGAACUGCCUUUGAUACUGAGGAUCUUGAGUUCGGGAGAGGUGAGUGGAACUGCGAGUGUAGAGGUGAAAUUCGUAGAUAUUCGCAAGAACACCAGUGGCGAAGGCGGCUCACUGGCCCGAUACUGACGCUGAGGCACGAAAGCGUGGGGAGCAAACA
rnacentral:rRNA from 1 species